AACAAACUUCCUCCGUCCAGAAAUACUUGUCAGAGGAAUGGACGUAUCUAGACAUAUUUUAGUUCUAAGAUACAUCCAUUUUUAUUGUUUUCUCCAAAAAGUAUUUCCGAACAGAGGGAGUAUUAG
rfam:Triticum aestivum genome assembly, contig: Triticum_aestivum_CS42_TGACv1_scaffold_328629_4BS